rnacentral:rRNA from 1 species
UACGUAGGGUGCGAGCGUUAAUCGGAAUUACUGGGCGUAAAGCGUGCGCAGGCGGUUCGUUAAGUCAGAUGUGAAAGCCCCGGGCUCAACCCCGGAAUUGCCUUUAAGACUGCAUCGCUAGAAUUGUGGAGAGGUAAGUGGAAUUCCGAGUGUAGAGGUGAAAUUCGUAGAUAUUCGGAAGAACACCAGUGGCGAAGGCGACUUACUGGACACAUAUUGACGCUGAGGUGCGAAAGCGUGGGAAGCAAACAGG